UCAUCUUCUCAGAGCUGCUGUCCAACCUGU
rnacentral:piRNA from 1 species